CAUAGGGGUUCCUUGCUUGUCACAUUUUGUGAGUCAUGUCCUAGGUUGUAACGCAAGGGCAGAUUGUAGAUUUCACAUGAUACAAUCCAACCAAGAACUUAGAAAUUCUGUCAAAUGUCCUAACUGGCUCCCACUUCCAAUCAUAGUGUUUCAAUAAAAUACCUUAAAAACCCUCUUAAAACCUCACAGCACCAAAACGCCUUUCUUGUGUUUGUGUUAUGUCCACACUCAGAAGAUAGCUGCUAUUUCAACAUGUCUUUCUCACACACAUCUUCUGAAGCCAACUUUCAUCUUCUUCUUGUUCUUCUUGCUGUUGCUGCUUCUGAUGUUGUUGUGACAGCUUCAUAUUCUUCAAUUCAUGAGCUACUUCGCAGCAAUGGCUUACCUGCAGGGCUUUUCCCUGAGAGUGUGAAGUCAUACAAAUUGGACCAGAAGGGUCGUUUGGAGGUGCAGUUAGAUCGUCCAUGUCUGGCCAAGUAUGAGAACAGGGUCUUGUUUGAGACUGUGGUGAGUGCUAACCUCAGUUUUGGACAGCUUAAAGGGUUGGAAGGUCUCUCUCAAGAAGAGCUUUUUCUAUGGCUUCCUGUGAAGGAUAUCAUUGUCAAUGAUCCUUCAUCUGGUCUCAUCCUUAUUGAUAUUGGUCUUGCUCAUAAACAGCUCUCACUCUCUCUCUUUGAAGACCCCCCUGUUUGUAGAUCUCAAGGUUCUUCACUAUACACAGCAGGAAGGAAGAUUAUUGGAUUUCAAGAUCAGAGAUGAAAGAGUUGGUUUCUCAGAAAAGUUGGUUUCUUUUCUAUUUUCAAUUUUGUUCCUUAGAAAGAGUUACAUGGUGCAAUAUGCAUAGAUCCAGCAAGGGUUGUAAUGAAUGUCAUACUCAUAAAUUGAUGGCGGUGUUUACUAUUGUAAAAAAUGAAUCUUUCUGCAAUUUUGUGUGCCGCUUUAUUUCUAAGGGGGAAUUCUUUGGUGUCUAUGGAAGUAGUGCUUAAUUUGGCUAAAGGUAAAGAUAAAGUAAGGUGGAACCCAGUGUUUUAUGUUUGAAUUCUCUGAGUGAAAUCUAGGCAUCAUAGAAGAUACCAUUUCUAAAUUCUAAUGUUCAAGCUGUUUCAUAUCAUGUCA